rnacentral:rRNA from 1 species
CCGCAAGGGACAACCGGCGAACGGGUGCGUAACACGUGAACAACCUGCCCUCGUGUGGGGGAUAGCCGGGCUAACGCCCGGGUAAUACCGCAUACGUUUUCCUGGGGGAGUCCUCGGGAAAGGAAAGCUCCGGCGCACGGGGAGGGGUUCGCGGCCUAUCAGCUAGUUGGCGGGGUAACGGCCCACCAAGGCGACGACGGGUAGCUGGUCUGAGAGGAUGGCCAGCCACAUUGGGACUGAGAGACGGCCCAGACUCCUACGGGAGGCAGCAGUGGGGAAUCUUGCGCAAUGGCCUAACGGCUGACACAGUGACGCCGCGUGUGGGAGGACGCCUUUCGGGGUGUAAACCACUGUUGCCCGGGACGAACACCUCUUUUCGAAGAGGCUGACGGUACCGGGUGAGGAAGCACCGGCUAACUCCGUGCCAGCAGCCGCGGUAAUACGGAGGGUGCGAGCGUUGUCCGGAAUCAUUGGGCGUAAAGGGCGCGUAGGUGGCCCGGUCAGUCCGUGGUGAAAGCGCGGGGCUCAACCCUGCGUCGGCCAUGGAUACUGCCGCGGCUGGAGCACUGUAGAGGCAGGCGGAAUUCCGGGUGUAGCGGUGGAAUGCGUAGAGAUCCGGAAGAACACCGGUGGCGAAGGCGGCCUGCUGGGCAGUGGGGUGAAGACCCCUUCAAGCUGACACUGAGGCGCGACAGCGUGGGGAGCAAACAGGAUUAGAUACCCUGGUAGUCCACGCCGUAAACGAUGGGCACUAGGCGCUUGGGGGAGCGACCCCCCGAGGGCCGGCGCUAACGCAUUAAGUGCCCCGCCUGGGGAGUA